rnacentral:piRNA from 1 species
UUCACCUCAUGGGUGAGUGGAUUGCCUAGA